CGCGUAGGCGGUCUGUUAAGUUCGGUGUGAAAGCCCCGGCUUACCCGGGGAACUGCGCCGGAAACCGACAGACUCGAGUACCGGAGAGGAGGGUGGAAUUCCUGGUGUAGCGGUGAAAUGCGUAGAUAUCAGGAGGAACACCGGUGGCGAAGGCGGCCCUCUGGACGGAUACUGACGCUGAGGCGCGAAAGCGUGGGGAUCAAACA
rnacentral:rRNA from 1 species